rnacentral:rRNA from 1 species
AUUGAACGCUGGCGGCAGGCCUAACACAUGCCAGUCGAGCGGAUGAAGGGAGCUUGCUCCUGGAUUCAGCGGCGGACGGGUGAGUAAUGCCUAGGAAUCUGCCUGGUAGUGGGGGAUAACGUCCGGAAACGGGCGCUAAUACCGCAUACGUCCUGAGGGAGAAAGUGGGGGAUCUUCGGACCUCACGCUAUCAGAUGAGCCUAGGUCGGAUUAGCUAGUUGGUGGGGUAAAGGCCUACCAAGGCGACGAUCCGUAACUGGUCUGAGAGGAUGAUCAGUCACACUAGAACUGAGACACGGUCCAGACUCCUACGGGAGGCAGCAGUGGGGAAUAUUGGACAAUGGGCGAAAGCCUGAUCCAGCCAUGCCGCGUGUGUGAAGAAGGUCUUCGGAUUGUAAAGCACUUUAAGUUGGGAGGAAGGGCAGUAAGUUAAUACCUUGCUGUUUUGACGUUACCAACAGAAUAAGCACCGGCUAACUUCGUG